rnacentral:rRNA from 1 species
AACUCUGGUAUUGAUUGGUGCUUGCAUCAUGAUUUACAUUUGAGUGAGUGGCGAACUGGUGAGUAACACGUGGGAAACCUGCCCAGAAGCGGGGGAUAACACCUGGAAACAGAUGCUAAUACCGCAUAACAACUUGGACCGCAUGGUCCGAGCUUGAAAGAUGGCUUCGGCUAUCACUUUUGGAUGGUCCCGCGGCGUAUUAGCUAGAUGGUGGGGUAACGGCUCACCAUGGCAAUGAUACGUAGCCGACCUGAGAGGGUAAUCGGCCACAUUGGGACUGAGACACGGCCCAAACUCCUACGGGAGGCAGCAGUAGGGAAUCUUCCACAAUGGACGAAAGUCUGAUGGAGCAACGCCGCGUGAGUGAAGAAGGGUUUCGGCUCGUAAAACUCUGUUGUUAAAGAAGAACAUAUCUGAGAGUAACUGUUCAGGUAUUGACGGUAUUUAACCAGAAAGCCACGGCUAACUACGUGCCAGCAGCCGCGGUAAUACGUAGGUGGCAAGCGUUGUCCGGAUUUAUUGGGCGUAAAGCGAGCGCAGGCGGUUUUUUAAGUCUGAUGUGAAAGCCUUCGGCUCAACCGAAGAAGUGCAUCGGAAACUGGGAAACUUGAGUGCAGAAGAGGACAGUGGAACUCCAUGUGUAGCGGUGAAAUGCGUAGAUAUAUGGAAGAACACCAGUGGCGAAGGCGGCUGUCUGGUCUGUAACUGACGCUGAGGCUCGAAAGUAUGGGUAGCAAACAGGAUUAGAUACCCUGGUAGUCCAUACCGUAAACGAUGAAUGCUAAGUGUUGGAGGGUUUCCGCCCUUCAGUGCUGCAGCUAACGCAUUAAGCAUUCCGCCUGGGGAGUACGGCCGCAAGGCUGAAACUCAAAGGAAUUGACGGGGGCCCGCACAAGCGGUGGAGCAUGUGGUUUAAUUCGAAGCUACGCGAAGAACCUUACCAGGUCUUGACAUACUAUGCAAAUCUAAGAGAUUAGACGUUCCCUUCGGGGACAUGGAUACAGGUGGUGCAUGGUUGUCGUCAGCUCGUGUCGUGAGAUGUUGGGUUAAGUCCCGCAACGAGCGCAACCCUUAUUAUCAGUUGCCAGCAUUAAGUUGGGCACUCUGGUGAGACUGCCGGUGACAAACCGGAGGAAGGUGGGGAUGACGUCAAAUCAUCAUGCCCCUUAUGACCUGGGCUACACACGUGCUACAAUGGAUGGUACAACGAGUUGCGAACUCGCGAGAGUAAGCUAAUCUCUUAAAGCCAUUCUCAGUUCGGAUUGUAGGCUGCAACUCGCCUACAUGAAGUCGGAAUCGCUAGUAAUCGCGGAUCAGCAUGCCGCGGUGAAUACGUUCCCGGGCCUUGUACACACCGCCCGUCACACCAUGAGAGUUUGUAACACCCAAAGUCGGUGGGGUAACCUUUUAGGAAC